GCAGAGUCCCGGUUACCCACAGUUACCCGUGGCGGGAACGGAGAGGGAUUAUGGGUGUCGGAGGGGUAUGUCUGCUCUCCUAUGGAAACCUGUUGUCAUCUCUACUUCUAUUAUUUUUUCUUCUCUCUCUCUUUAAAUCUUCAACAUUAAUCUAUUAUUCCCUUUCCCAGCAACCACCAUCCAUCACUCUCAUCUUCAUCUUCAUUGGACGAAAGUUAUGUUGAACUGAUAAAACAUAGCCGUUUUAUUUUUUGUGCCAAAAUAGAACAGAAAUAACGUUGUUUAGGAUAUUUUAGGAGAUUUUAAUAUGUUAGAGAUACUGUUCUCUACCUCCCAGGAAGUCUCUUCUUCUUCUCCUUAUUUUCUUUAAUGGUGCCUCUCUGGCGUUCUAUCUAAAGAAAAGUAACCACACUAUAAUCGUCUCAUUUCUAUCGCACACGGAGUUGUCCAGGAAGAGACAUUUUGAUUGAGAGAGAUGACUUUGAUUACUAUUGUGUAUCACCAUGGAGAUCCUUUGUAACGAGUGUGGAUGGUGUUAUUGCAUAUACUAGGAACCAUACUUUAGAGAUGCCUCAACUUGAUCCAGACCUGUUGGAUGAGUUCUUCAUCAGAGAUUACUACAAACAUCUUGGGUAUGAUAAGGUGGAACAUUGUUGGUGGUUGGUUUUCAACAGACCAUUGGAGACUGGUUUAAGAAAACUCCAUACUGAUGUUGAACUCCUGGAGAUAUGCUUUCAUGCUGAAAGAAAUAAUGGAUUGGUGUAUGUGUACUAUGAGCAUGGAGUCUCUGUAUCAAAGUAUUUGGAACAAUCACCAUUUAAAAAAGGCAAGAAGGUGGUGAUUGAAGUCCUAACUCAUCCAAUCUAACUGAGAAUAGGAUUGACCUCUAUGGACAUACCUCCUACUCCAAUUCCCAACCCAUCUGUCAAGCAAUCUGAAGCUGUUGAAACUCCAACCCCCCUAGGAUUAAUCUCAUCCUCACCCAGAUUCCAACCUCAAUUCCACCCAUCCCAACCAGUAAUCCUAUCUACUCCACCCAUUCCAAAUAAUAAUCCUACUCAAGAACCCCCUCCAAUAACCGAUUCAGACCUUGUUGCCAAAUCUACUCCAAAACCAAUGAUGAAUUCACAAUUGGUUAGAGUGCCUCCACCGAUGGCUGACAAUGGAUGCAUGCAAUGAGACUUGUGCAUUCCAUAUCAAUCCACUUUUUGGACAAGCUUUAUGGGAGAAAUCAGUAUACAAUAGACCUCAAGCACCCAAGAUUAGAAAGAUGCCAAGUGCACCAAAAAGAAAAAGAAGAAAGGAUACUGAUGAAGGACUUGCGGGAGGCAAGAAAUAGAAUCCAACGAAGAUGAAGAAGAUAUACAAAGAAGGAUCUUGUCGCCAUUGUGGUGGCACUGGCAAAGGUCAUAACAAGAGGAACUGUCCCAAGAAGAAGGUUGAAGAUGUGGCUGCAGCUACAUAGCAGCUAUUGCUGCUGCCAAUGUUGCUACAUCCAAUCCUCUGCAACUGCUAAAAAUGAAGUCUAGGAUGAGGGUCAUGCCACUGAGAUUGAGCUUGACGUGAGCUAGCCUAUUGUAUCAGAGAAUGAAGACUUUCAACAGGUUGUAAAAGAAAAGACCAGACCAACAAAACUUUUCCCUAAAAGAAGACAGUCCCAUGCUCGAAUUGCUCCACAACAAGCCCCCUGCAGCAGGUUCUGUUGGUCCACCUGCAGCCAUUACUACCGUUUCAAAUGAUUGGCCACCACCCUUUGCUCUAGUUUCAGAUAUGCCAGCACAUUCCACCCCUCCAGUUGAUCCAAUGCUAGGUGCAUCCAUAGCUACAGCGACAAGACUAGGGAACUUCCUGCGUUUCAUGCCAAUCCUAAGAUUCAAACCACCAAGAAAAAGCAAAAAGUGAAAUUACUUAUGAAAGUGAUUGUUGUUUGUCAUUUUGAUAUCAUGAAUUUGCCUUUUGUUAUAUGUUACUAAGUCUAUGUUAGGAUCUUUAUGUUUUGUUAUUAGAGAUUUGCUUUUUAUAUACUCUAUGUGGCGUGUUAUGUUUUUUUGAUGGUGUGUAGAAUUACACAG